rnacentral:rRNA from 1 species
UGUUUAACAAAAACAUGUCUUUUUGUUUAUAAAUAUAAAGUUUAGCCUGCCCAAUGAAUUUUUAAAUGGCUGCAGUAUUUUGACUGUACUAAGGUAGCAUAAUCAAUAGUUUUUUAAUUGAAAGCUGGAAUGAAAGGCUGGACGAGAAAGAAACUGUCUCUUUAUAAAUAUAUUAAAAUUUUAUUUUUAAGUUAAAAAGCUUAAAUUAAAUUAAAAGACGAGAAGACCCUAUAGAGUUUUAUAUAAAUAUUAAAAAUUUAUUUAUAGAAUUUUAAAUAAAUUUUUAAUAUUUUUAUUUUAUUGGGGUGAUGAAAAAAUUUAAUAAACUUUUUUUUAAAAAAACAUAAAUGUAUGAAUUUUUGAUCCAAAAAUAUUUGAUUAAAAGAUUAAAUUACCUUAGGGAUAACAGCGUAAUUUUUUUAAAGAGUUCUUAUUGAUAAAAAAGUUUGCGACCUCGAUGUUGGAUUAAAAUUUAUUUUAGGUGAAGAAGCUAUAAAAUUUGGUCUGUUCGACCAUUAAAAUUUUACAUGAUCUGAGUUUAAACCGGUGU